UUAUUCAUUUAAUUUAAAAAUACUAUACACUGUAAUGGCAAUGGGAAGUAAAAAACACAAUAGAGUUGUCUGACUGGUUGUUCUAUAUUUCCCAAUGUAUUUCUCUUUCAAUACCAACAGACCCUGCCAACUGUAAAGAUAUUUGCUCCUCCAGAUUGAAUGUGAAAAUAAUUGAAUUUGUUCAUUUAAUUUAAAAAUACAAUAUACACUGUAUAAAUAUACAAAAAAAUUAUGGACAACAAUCUUUUUUAUUAAUCCAUAAUUAAAUUAAUCAAUGUGCUUCUUUUUUUUAUUAUUUACAGCUACAGUAAAAAACCAAAAGGUUUAUUUCUGUAGCUGUAAAUAAUUAAAAAAAGUUUUCAGUGCAGAACAUAAACUCCAACAGAACCUGGUGAGUAUCACAUAUUUAGCACCAGUCUACAUUCAGUUUAUAAUCCCUGAGAGAAUGUUUACAUGACAGGCACAAUGGAUGGAUUCAUAUGUUAAGGCACAUUAUAAUCAAUACUUUUGUUUCUAGAACAAUGGACUUGUCCACAAGUACACACAUAUUUCUUAAAACAAAGACUGUACUCUGCGAUUUGGCCUUCAGUGCUCAUGUUAAUGUUUCAGCUGUUGGAAAACUUCUACCAGAGUGAAGAUGAUCAGAAACUCUGUUUACGUCUGGAGAUUUGUGUAAACGAUGAUGCAGAAACAUGUUGAUCAAUGUGAACUCAGAUUAUGUGUCGUGAUGUUGGAGUAUUUGAUUUUAUGUAUCAACACUGAAACACUUCACUGUUGGUUUCUGCUUUGGCAAAGUCUGUAUCUGAAGUGAAAAGCUGGGGGUCUCAUUAAUACUUAAACCCACUAUGAUCAGGCUUUUGGUGUGUGAUGGGAAUGUGUAAACUGUGUUAGACCCGGGUCAGUGGUCUCUGCCAGUGAUGUGAACCCCCCCGUGGCACAAUUGUCAAAAAAUGCACACUAAAGUGCCCUUUUCAGUGGCGAGAACGUGCUGUAUUUUCGUCCCGGCCCUUCAAAAAGUCUGUGCAGGCCACUGACCUCUGCAGUAGGCCAGAGUUUUUAAUCACGUCAGCUCGCCUUUGACCUAAACAUAAGAGCUGAGUGAACAUGCUUAUUAGAAAAAAGCUGCAUUAGAAAUCAGUUC
rnacentral:lncRNA from 1 species